rnacentral:rRNA from 1 species
AUGAUUUCGCCCACUUUUUUUCGUUAUUGUUUUUUACAUGAAUGGAUACAUUUGGAUAGCUUAUUUAUUAUUUUUUUGUAUAUACUUUGUAGUUUCAAUGAUGAGACAUCUAUGUCAACUAUGGGUGUUGGCUCCAACAAUUCUCAUUGGUCUCAAACUAAUGAAGUGCAUUUAGAUGAUCAUGAGUUUGAGGUGGACGAGGAUGGUGAGGGUAUCGUCCAUGCACCGAAAGGAAGAGAGGGAAACUACACCAUGGAUGAAGACAUCUUGCUAUGCAAUACAUGGUUGAAAGUGUCUAGGGAUGCCACCAUUGGAGGGGACCAAAGUAGAGAUGCAUAUUGGAUCCGGAUGAAGGAGCAUUUUGAUUUACACAACAAAAGUGGAAUUGACCACACAAAUUGUCAAAGGUGGGAGGCCGCACUUAAGUCGGUUGACACGGUAAACCCAAGUGGCACUAAUGAUAGAGAUAGGGUAAGUGCCAUUUCUUUCAUGAUUCUUCCAUGUUCAUGCUUCUUCUUUUGUGUUUCAAGUGCUAACUUGUUCUUUUGUUUGUAG